UACGUAGGGUGCGAGCGUUGUCCGGAAUUACUGGGCGUAAAGCGUGCGCAGGCGGUUUUGUAAGACAGAGGUGAAAUCCCCGGGCUUAACCUGGGAACUGCCUUUGUGACUGCAAGGCUUGAGUGCGGCAGAGGGGGAUGGAAUUCCGCGUGUAGCAGUGAAAUGCGUAGAUAUGCGGAGGAACACCGAUGGCGAAGGCAAUCCCCUGGGCCUGCACUGACGCUCAUGCACGAAAGCGUGGGGAGCAAACAGG
rnacentral:rRNA from 1 species